UAGAGAAAGCCCGUGUUUAGCAACAAAGACCCAACACACACAAAAAGACCUUCCAGAUUCAAGAUAUCAAGUGGAUGAACAGGAGGGAGAGUCAGGUGGAAGAAGGAAUUGAAACACAGGAAAAGUAAUGGAUUGACCUAAAGUGAAGAAGGCGGUUAUUCCCCUUUUGGCACUGGUGUGAGGAUUGAAUGAGAUGGUGUAUGUACAGUCCUUGCCUGCAGGAAACACUCAUUGUUGUAGCCAUGAAGAGCCACUAGGUCUGACAACAAGAGCACUGUGUAUCAACUGGGCUUUUUCCAAGCAGUUCUUACAGAAAUCUCAGACAGCCUGGAUCAGAGUAAGAUGACGUCACAAGAUGACUUCCAGGCCCUCCCUGGCUCUUGGAAGGACACCCCUCGUGAUUCCAUCUCCUUUGGCAACCCCCUCCCUUAAUGAAUUCAUCCUCCACUUCCAGGCUCUGCUGCCCCUGCUAAGGCUUUCAGUUGUAUGUCGGCUGAGCCAGUGACUUCUAGAGCAGGCUCGGUCCACAGAGCCCCGCGAGACAGGGGUCUGCUUCCUGGCUCCUUCUCCACUCAGUGCAGUUUUUUGGAAGAAAAGCCCCCCAGUAGCCGGGCAGAGAAUGCUGUCUGUGCACCGUAGACACAGAGCCAUACCCAUAAAUGUGCAUCCCCCUGGGGAGAGCAGACAGCCAAGUCCUAGAAACUUGCCCUAGGAAAGUCCUGGAUGUGUUCAUAACUUGGAAGGAGAAAGACGUAAGAAGAAGGUGCACACGGUGAUCGGUUUAUUACACCAAGGAAGCAUUAGGAAAAUUAAUUAAAAGGUAAAAGAGAAUGAAAAGAAAGAAAUGUGGCAGCUCCCUCUGGCCCAGUCCCUUUUCUUGGAUCCAAGAAGCUGUGGGAUGUGACUUAACCUGACACACGAAGGUGGCACUUGGGUCAUAAGGCACCGUGCAGUGUGGCAGCUGUGCGUGUGUGUGCGAGAUUACCUGAGGCGAACUCAUGUCUUUUUAUCCGAAGCCAGGCUGAAUUGACGGCCUCGUGGAGGAUGCGGGGGGUGGGGGGGUCCCACUACCUCCUGAUGGUGUGAUUAGUGGUGCUGGGUGCAGCAGUUGAGCGGAGAGAAGGCCUGUGGGAGCUGAGCCGGCUCCUUUUGUGGUCUCUUACAAAGAAUCGUGUUGCAGAUAUAAGUACCUUGGAAGUACUGUUUGCACGUUGGCCUUUCUUUGGACUUGCUUCUUUAUCUGGUGGCAAAACAAACCGCAAAUCAAAGAGCAGCUUCUGCUGGCCUGUGUCUACGGGGAGGGCUGUUGUUGUUUACUCAGCCUGACUGGUUGCCCACCUUGCCUACACUUUCUGGAAACUUCUCAACUCUGAACUCCACAGAGAAGGGGUAAAUGGCUUCAAGGAGAACAUUUUCGUGUGCUGAAAUCAUAGAAUCAAAUACCACAAACGUUCACCAGCCGCCCGCUGUUUGCAAAGCCAGUGCCGAGCUCAGCCGGAGGCAGAAGGAACCGGGCUCUGGGAACUCACCACGGGGAGGAGAGACGGACACACUGACUCAAGAGCCCCAGAGGGUUCAAACACGAGGUUUUAGGUACAGGGGAGGAAGACACUGGUCUUGCAAUUUGCCAGACUGUCUCUACUUCUAGAACUGUCCUGCUGGCCACGGAAAUCGCACAUCUUGCAUCGCACCGCCCUGCACGGCUCUUGGCAACACUCAGACAACGCUGGCUGUGUGAAUGCUGCCAGGAGGGGAGAGUAGCUGGGUGUGGAAGGUCAGCUGGGGUCUCUGCUCACCAGUCAUUCAAGGAACCGGCCUGACAAGGCAGCCACCACCUCCAACCCUGAAGGUCUCCCAGGAUCAGGGAAGAAAGAGACACGGAGUGCUCGCUCCAGCAGUUCAACACUUAACCCAGGAGGGUCACACAUCGCUUCCACUCCCUGUGCAUUGUCCACGACAAGUUCAUGGUCCCACCGCCCACGGAGGGACCUGGCAGUGUGUCCACUAUGAUGACCACACGUGGAGACUAAGACAAGACCCAUUGCCACACGAGGCAGAAUGGGGCGGAUCGUAAGCUGUGUGCCACCGUUAAAGGGGAGGGAAAUAAUUUCCAUUUGUGGGCUCAGGAAAUGCUUUGUGGAUGAAGGAUGGACUUUUUGAGAUGAGUGAGACUGCAGUAGGCAAAGAUUGGGUGUAGGUGGGAUGAAAACCUAGACUGAAGGAAGACUGAGAGCAGGGGCUCAGGGUGGGCAAGAAGCCCGCCACUGAGGGAAUAAUACAGCACAGGUUUCCCGCGGAUGCAUAGGAAGGACGAGGUGGGAGGCUGGACUGAGUCCGCAUGGAGAAAUCUGUUGUCAGUUGGGCGGCCUGUGGAAGGUCCUGGAGGCGGCGGCUGGGACAUGAUCAAACCUGUGCUGUGGCUAGUUUCUUGGGACAGCGGCACAGAGGGACUUGAACUUACGACGUCAGGGGCAGGUGCGAGGCUAUUGCAGUACCUUAGGUGAGAGAGCAGGGGCCUGGGCCGGUGGGGCCGAUGAGGGGAGGGGUCUGAGACAUAAGGUGGACACCCCCAGAAGCCUGGAAUCGGACUUGUUAUGGGGCUAGAUAAUCAAAUGUAAUCAGAGGGAGUGGGUGAAGGAAAGAACGUGCCCUGAUUUCAAGCCUGCAUGAGGCUCUUGGAUGGAUCAACGGCGCUUCCCAAGAACCCCGGGGCUGUGUCUAAAGGAAGAUCAAGCCAAGUGUUGCUUCCACAGAAGACAGUGAAUGUGCUCCUGGUCCCACAGAUGCUGAUGUGGGCAAGAGCUUCCUGCUAAACCUAUUAAAUAUUUUCUUCUCCCAGGAACAUUUGAAUUAACUCAUAAUUUAUUUACUAAGUGUGCUGUAGAACUUGUGUGCUAACCCUCAUACAUUGACACUGACCAUGGAAAGUUCUUUUACAAUGUGUACUUUCUUAAUAUAGGGACCCGAAGCUGGUGUGAAAAUAUGUUUCCUGUCUUUCUUGGACUUAGAAGCACACGUAUUUUCCAAAAAAAUUUUGAGAGGCAUUAAGGAGGUACAGUGUGCGUGUGAGUUUAUUCUAUAUUCAUGAACAAGAAUUCAAUUCAGGAAACCUGAGAUAGAGGGAGAGGGUUUUGCAGAGUCAGUACUGUGUUACACACUGAUCGCUAUCCUGAAGCAAGUCCAAGGUCUAAUUAACCCUCCUUAGAUGGAACUAAAAUCAAAAUCCGCCAGAGGCUAAGGUUCUUUUAAUUUCAAUCCUGUCUUGCACACAUCAGAGAAAUUCAGCAAAUACCUGUGUGGAAUCUGCCCUGAACAACAGGCAUAUCUAUAAAGGCUUAGGAUCUGCUUUUCAGUGAACGUAAAGCUUUUGUUUUGUGGUAAAUCAUAGGCAUCAGUAAGCACAUUUUAAUGCUUUUAUGUUGUUGUCUUCUAAUCCGAUCAGGAAUGCCAGACAGUUUAGUAAACAGAUGAAUGCAAAGCCAGGAGUGUAUGAGUCAGUUUUUUCUUGGGAUUUUUGUGUAUUGUGGACAAUCACAUUGAUUCCAUAUUGAAGGAACAAGUUCUUGGUACCUGAGUCACAGAGACCAUACAAGGUCUUGCUACGUAGAGUAUGGACCCUGGACCAGCAGUGCUGGCAUGACCUGGGAGCUGGUUAGAAAUGCAGAAUCUCAGGCCAUACUUCAGACCUCUUGAAGCAGAACCUGCAUUUUAAAAAGAUAGGGGAUUUUGGUGCACACUGAGGUCUGAGAAACACUGACAUAAGGGACCCAACACAGGGAGUGGACUGAAGGAAGUUAAGUGACACAUGACCUGCAAAGAGCCGGAAGCUGGGUCAUUUUCAGCCGAAACUCGGGAUUUCUCUAAAUCCGGGAGCUUUCAGCUGCCUUGCAUUAUUAUUAUUGCUUUGCUCUUUUUCCCCCGGAGUUUCAUUGACAAAGUUGUUGUUGUUACUUUUCUCCUGGCAUAUUAGGAGGAUGCAAUUCUUUUCAGCAGGUUGACAAUUUUUUUUCCACGCAGACACAUUUAGUCUUCUUAGUUCCCUUGGAGGGUCUUUGAAAGCACGGACCAUUUAGUCUUUCUAGACUCGUCUUCUAGACUGGACCUUUCUGGUCUUCCAUUAGAAUCCUUCUAUUUCAAAGUGAUUGAAGACUGUCCAGCCGCCUAGCACCUCUCAGCCUUUUGACACUCAUGCCCCAUUUUGAAAAAUGUAAAGAUUCCAUGUCAUACUAUUCAGUGAAAAAAGCAAAGUCCAAAAGAGUGUUUAUAGUAUGCUACCCUUUGUGUAAGAAGGGGAUAUAAGAAAAUAGGUGUCUGAUCACUUGUGCAAAAGAAAUACAGAGAGGAUAAAUCAGAAACCAAGGUUGUUGGCUACCUACGGGAGGCAGGUGGGAAGGGUGGAGAGAAGAGGAAAAUGGGAGAGGGUGGGCAGGAGGAGGAGGGAGCCAUCCUUCUCUGAGAACAUCUUAUGUAACCAACUCUUCCUCUUAGACCAUAGUAAUGCUUCACAUAUCCCCCCAGUAAAUAAAUAAAUAGAUAAUUCAAAGCAACCAGGACGUGGAUGGGGAGACCCAAAAUGGGAUACAAAGACUAACAAAUGAAUGAACUCUAUUGCAACCAGACUGGGUACUGCGAGGCUAAGGACAAAAAGAACUGUGUAUAAACACUGUUUCUUAUAGGAGUAUGGGUUAGCAGGUCUGGAACUACUUUAUGUAUAUAGUGGAAUUGAACAAAUAAGUAAAUAUAUCAUAGAUAAAUGAGAGCUGGGUUCUCACUGUUGGAGAAGGAUGUUACAAAUAAGAAGAGGAACCAGUAUAAAAUGACCCCUGGGGGCUUCCCUGGUGGCGCAGUG